rnacentral:lncRNA from 1 species
CGGGUUCUUUGACAUUGGAAUGCUAGCGACACUAUUACAUACGUGAGUCAAAAGACGCAAACGGUCCCGGCUAAGGUAAGGCUGCAGCCGUGGAGUUAACCGUGCGUGAGACCGCAAAGGGAUGCAAUGUGUUACAGGCUGGAUUCCUAUGGCUUAGGAUCGGGGUCCCGACAAGCUCGAUAAACACACGAGUUAGCGGAAGCAACAAAUAUCUGAGUACAUACAUUAAACAUGACAUGCCUUAGAGAAGGCUAGCACAAAAGAUACAAUGAUCGAAUGGGGCAAGGCCUCCUAUCUGGGAGCCUCCUAACUACUCCUGGUCUUCAGCGGCCUCCACCUAGUAGCAGGCACCGUCGGGGUAGCAGUCGUCGCCGACGGGAUACUCCAUCUCCUGGGCUCCAUCAUAUGGUCGCAGCAACGGAUCAAGGGGACAAAGGGGGAGCAAAGCAAUGGUGAGUACUCAUCCAAAGUACUCGCAAUACUUAUAUCAGAACUAUGCUAAGUCUGCAUCAGUAUCAAAGAAGGGGGUUUAAAUGUGGCCUUACUGCAGCAAUGCAAGAAUAGAGAGAGAAGGCCUAGUCCUAUCGAAGACUAGCGUCUUUAAGGGUCUUGCAGCAAUAGACGAGAGUACAACAGGGGAACACAAUUAAUAGUCAUAUUGUUACAACAAUAUUAAUAUGAGGUCACGCCCAGAGAUCCUUCCUCUUCUCCCUGCGAGGAAGCAAUCCCGGAGCAACUAUUCCAGUUAAGUAACAAUUGUAGUUGUAUAAGAUCAGGGCACAACUCCAAGUCGUCCUGUAACCGUUGACACGACUAUUCCAAUAGAUAAGUUCUUCCCUGCAGGGGUGCACAACAUAUUCCCCGUCACGCUCGAUAACACUCUAGCUGGACACACUUUUCUGGGUCAUGCCCGGCCUCGGAAUAUCGACACGUCGCAGCCCCACCUAAGCUCAAAAAAGAGGCCAGCCCGCCGGUCUAAAUCCUAAGCACAACGGGUUCAUCGGCCCACUUGCCCUCUGCGCUCCUGCAUGAUGCGUGGGCGGCCGACGUCAGUCCUAGCACCCCUGAAUACAAGCGCGAUGCAUCUCGGGACCACUCGGGCGCGCACCGCUCCAUUGCUGACGUCUAAAGAGAUUCGGCUGAUACCACGGCGCUGAAUACCCAAAAUUCUUCACACGUAGACGGUUAGUGCGUAAUAAGGCCUUCCGACCAACCCAGAUCAAAUACCCAAAUCCAUUAUCAUUUUAAUUAAUUCAUCGACAGAUCCACGCGGGAAUCCACUCGCCUAACAUCUAUUCAUCAAAGAUCCGAGUAACAUGGUUGAGUAACUGUGUGGUUGUAACAUCAAGGGGAAUCCGUGGUAUCACCCUCCUUGGAUUCCGAACGAUGUAACCGUCAAGGUGGACUUAUCAGAAUCACCCUCGAGGGUCCCACACUUGAGGGGUUGCACGACAGAGUCAUCGUCGGGAGUGGUGAAGGAGGAAAUCACCCUCGAUAACCAUGACCGACUAGCUGUACAACAGAGAUAUCAUCCUGAGUACUUCGCGAGGUGUAACCCUCAGUACCGAAUAGUAGCUCGUCAUACAAGUAAGGGGUUGUGAGUGAUGUGUCGGGUCUUGCUCGUCUAUCAAGGAUUGAUACUCGACAAUAAAGCGGGGCAACUGGACUAAGGGGUCAGAGGGGAAGACUGGUCAACCUAUACUAAAUAGUUUAAAGGUGUGGUAUUGAAAGUAGAAGUUCAUCAAAAAUAGGCUAUGCAUCAAAUAUAGGAGCUAACUACAACAAUAGAAAAAUUCUAAUGCAAGCAGGAGGAAGAUAGACAUACGCGAUAUAGGCAUGAUCAAGGGGAUUUGCUUGUCUGGUUGCUUUGCAGACAAAAAGGAUCCUUGACUGGGAAGUAGUCGAUCAUCGGAUCAUCAUCGGUCUCGGGGUCUACCGGAAAGGAAGUAAUGGAGGGGAAACACAAUAAAUAACAAAACAAUCAAAACAAUCACAAAGCAAGACCUGGCUUAAAGGAAGCGUUAGGCAUGAGCUAGCGCAGUAUCAUCUGUCAUAGACAGAUCGGGAAAAAUAUCAGAUGAUAUUUUACGGGUCUCUGGCUACUACCGUUUAGAUGAAAAUGAUGGAAAAGUUCCAUGUUUUUUAUGCUAUGGACGCGUGACAAAAAAAUGGAUGGCGUAUUCGGGUUCGUCUCGUUUUGCAAAUGAACUUUCAUGUUAGAAAUAUUUUCA